UUAAAGUUGUUGCGGUUAAAAGCUCGUAGUUGGAUUUCUGUUGAGGACGACCGGUCCGCACUAUGUGCGUGUAUCUGGUUCGGCCUUGGCAUCCUUCUGGGGAACGGUGCUGCGCUUGAUUGCGUGGUCCGGUAUUCAGAACUUUUACUUUGAGGAAAUUAGAGUGUUUACGGCAGGCAAUCGCCUUGAAUACAUUAGCAUGGAAUAAUACUAUAGGACCUUGGUUCUAUUUUGUUGGUUUCUAGAACUAAGGUAAUGAUUAAUAGGGACGAUUGGGGGCAUUCGUAUUAACACGUCAGAGGUGAAAUUCUUGUAUUGUGUUACGACGAACUACUGCGAAAGCAUUUGCCAAGGAUGUUUUCAUUGAUCAAGAACGAAAGUGCGGGGAUCGAAGACGAUUAGAUACCGUCGUAGUCUGCACCAUAAACUAUGCCAACUAGAGAUUGGUGGUCGUUCUUUUUAUGACUCCAUCAGCACCUUAUGAGAAAUCAAAGUCUUUGGGUUCCGGGGGGAGUAUGGUCGCAAGGCU
rnacentral:rRNA from 1 species